CGAACGCUGGCGGCGUGCUUAACACAUGCAAGUCGAACGCGAAAUUUUUCUUCGGAAAGAGAGUAGAGUGGCGCACGGGUGAGUAACGCGUAAGUUAUCUACCUCGGCAUCUGGAAUAACUCACCGAAAGGUGUGCUAAUACCGGAUACGUUGAGUAAUCAAGAAAGGUGGCCUCUGAAUAUGCUACCGUGCUGAGAUGAGCUUGCGUACCAUUAGCUAGUUGGUAGGGUAAUGGCCUACCAAGGCGACGAUGGUUAGCGGGUCUGAGAGGAUGAUCCGCCACACUGGAACUGGAACACGGACCAGACUCCUACGGGAGGCAGCAGUGAGGAAUAUUGCGCAAUGGGGGCAACCCUGACGCAGCGACGCCGCGUGGAUGAUGAAGGCCUUCGGGUCGUAAAAUCCUGUCAGAUGGAAAGAAGUGUAUAGUGGUUAACACCUGCUAUGCUUGACGGUACCAUCGAAGGAAGCACCGGCUAACUCCGUGCCAGCAGCCGCGGUAAUACGGAGGGUGCAAGCGUUGUUCGGAAUUACUGGGCGUAAAGCGCGCGUAGGCGGUUUGCUAAGUCAGAUGUGAAAGCCCAUGGCUCAACCAUGGACGUGCAUUUGAAACUGGCAGACUUGAGUAUUGGAGGGGGUGGUGGAAUUCCCGGUGUAGAGGUGAAAUUCGUAGAUAUCGGGAGGAAUACCGGUGGCGAAGGCGACCACCUGGCCAAAUACUGACGCUGAGGUGCGAAAGCGUGGGGAGCAAACAGGAUUAGAUACCCUGGUAGUCCACGCCGUAAACGAUGUCAACUAGGUGUUGGGACGGUUAAUCGUCUCAUUGCCGCAGCUAACGCAUAAGUGACCCGCC
rnacentral:rRNA from 1 species